CACUUUUGGAGCGAAGGCAAUCCCGCGCUGUGUUAGCAAAAUUUUCAUGUCAUCGGGUGGGUGAAAUUCGUAAAGGUUGAAGUGUGUAUGUUAGGAUGGUAACAUUAUAAUAAUUAAGGAUGAAGUGUGAAUUCAUGCCAGGAAUAAUAAGGGUGAAGUUUGAUUUCCUCCCUUCUGUAAUAAGCAGCCAAUUAGUUAUUUUUCCUUUAUUCAUGUGUUUAAUCUGAUACUGUUAUAGCGCCGGCUAAACUGUUUAUGUAUGUAAGCACUUCAGAGUUAUACCAAGCUAAUAAGUCACUCGUAAGAUACGUUUGUAAGAGUGUGCUUAACUGUAUUUUAAUUUACUUUAGUUCUCACGGAAGGUGAUAAUUCUGACUAAAUCUACAUAAUAAAGCCGCUAGUUAAAAUCAAGGAACGGUUGUGCUCUUGGUUACUGGAGGGAGCAACACCACAACAGGAAUAAGGAUUAUGGAAAGUGUAAAAUUUCGUGGAACUGUGCCAAUUCAGAUGCCUUGCUUUAGCCAUAUCACUCAUACUGUUUCUCGUUUAGUCCAUCCAUAAAAGCAGAUCAGCUUUUGUUGCAUCCAGGAACUUGUAUAAUGUGCUUAUGUUAUGCUUAUAUGUUUGUGGGACCGUCAUUGGUGUCCCCCAGCCCAUCCCCUUUGUUGUGUGCCAAGCAUUCUUGUCAUUCUUUUAAGUCUCAAUCAUUCUUUUUGAUAUUUGUCUUCCUUUACAAAGGCACUGCAGAGGCUAAGAAGACGCAUGGAAACUCUAAAAGAAACGUAAUUCAACUUGUAAACCAGAUUUCAAAAGGAAAUAAUGAAUCCCGAAGCUCAGAUGUCAGACACCGAGGCUGCCAGUACCUCUGGGUCGAUAGUCCAUGUGUUGGAUGAUGCACCGCCGUUGAUCAGAACAGACAGCGUAUAUCCACACAGGUCGCACCAACCACUCCCCUUUACUGACCAGUAGGAGAGAAGUGCCCCUUUGAAAUCCUCUUGACCCCCUUGGUCCCACUGGAAGACAAGCCUCCUAUCAAGCAGUGGCACAUGCCCGCAUCCCGUGCCAAGGCUGAGCGGGAAUGGGAGAAUAGCCAACGGGAGCGCAGGAAGAGAGUGAAGCCAAUUCACUGGGACGUUAACUUUAAGUCUGGGCCUUUCUUCCCAGUGUGUGUCACUCCAUCACUGCCCUCGAUCUUGGAGAUGGACGAAGAGUCUCUGUCUGAAGAGAUGGAGCAAAGCCAGUUGUAGGGGGUCGCGCACACACACAUUCAUUUUCAUUUAUAUACCUUUAUUUAAAUAGGCAAGUUAGUUAAGUACAAAUUCUUAUUUACAAUGACGACCUACCCCAGCAAAACCCUAACCCGGACGGCACUGGGCCAAUUGUGUGCCACCCUACAGGACCAGUGCCUUAGACCAAUCGGGAGCGUUAUUGAGACCUCAUGGCCUACCAUGGACCAGAGAGGAUCAGCCAGCAUCAUCCCAGCGUCUGCCCUGCCUGCCAUCCUAGUACCUCCACUGCCCUUUCAACCCCAAACCACAAAGGGCAGGUGACAGAAAUGAUCCAGCGCCCACCGAUCCAGGCUGUUCUGCAUGAGCAGCAGCAGCUACUGUCGGAAGUACUGUUGGAACAGACUUUUCCUAUGAGAUCCAACAGGAGCCACAAGCUUUCAAAGUACUUUCAUCCCUGGGGUGUGGAGCUUCUCAAACAGUGUUCUCUUCCUGAAGAUGGACUGCUUCAACCCCUUAGGAGUAUCCAGAGUAUCUAGUACGCUAGUGUGAUGAUAGAAUAUGUCCCUCAGUAUAAACUGGAGAUUAAUAUUAAUCCACUUGUUAUUCUAGUUAGGCAAAUGUUAAUUUAUCAUCACCAUGUUCCAAAGAAUUCUGUUUCUAUAAAGUUUUAUUGCAGUUGAAAAUGAUGUGUGGUGUGUGUUGUUGGUUUCUUGUGAGCUAUGAAGUAUACCCUUUUAGUAGAAUGUUUAUUUCUUCAUUGGAUUUGUUGAUUUGUUGACCAAAGAGAAGAGGUAAGUGCUGAGCGGACUAAUAUAAGUGAAGUUCCGAUUCAAAUUUGUUUUAAUCCGAAGGUGGCACAUCUGACUCACAAUUUAGUGUCAUAAUUCUUCACGUUUUCAAUGUAUAGCAACACUGACAAAUUCUAAGGUGGAACUAUUUGUACUACAGAAUUGGAAAUGAGGAUCUAUCUAAACACAGUGGUUAUGAAUUGCGAGAAUGCUGAACAACAUUUUCUGACCAAUAGGCUUGUUUGUCGUAAUAUUUGGCCAAAUGUUUCUUCGCUUGAGUCAAGAGGCCCUGUCUCAACUUGCACAUGUAAGGGAAGCAGACAGCUGCAGAUUUAAUAUAACUGCUGGGUUACACGGUAACCAGGUCUCUCUUGCCAAAAGAACCCACUUUUGCAAGAAAGACCUGAUAGUGCCACAUAACACAACGCUUAUAUACAUUUUUCCUUUUAAAAUGACCCCUUUAUCUGGAAUAGAUGUAGUGUUGCCUUACAUUUUCUGAAAUGUGAAUGACAUUUGCUUAGCCUUCAAACUGUGCUUCUUUUAAAAUACCGUUGGUUGGACUGCGAGGCAGUGACUGUAUCAUUUUUCUUUUGAUCUGAAG
ensembl:lncRNA